rnacentral:lncRNA from 1 species
CAGGCCUGAACCUUUCAGUCUACCCCAGAAGAGUGCUCUAGUGGACCCUUGAGGGAUGAUCACACUCAAGAGCCAUGGAUAUAACUAGGCACUCAGCUUUCUACAAGCUGAGACAGUCUGAAUGGCGUGUUCUAGAUACUCAAUAUCUGGGCCUAUGUCACAACAGAGAGCAGUGUUUGGGGACCUCAGUGUCAUGUGCAAGUAAUAAGAACAUUGUCACUGUUUAUCUGACCAGAGAUUGAUAGUUCAAUACCUUUCAACUUGACUGGGAAGCAUAGCCCUGGGAAUGUGCAGGGAGAUAACACACAGUGGAAUAGAACAAAGUCUGCUGGAGUCACACUCUCCUUAACGUCA